ACCUGCGGAGGGAUCAUUACCGAGUUU
rnacentral:rRNA from 1 species